UUGGUGGGGUGAUGGCCUACCAAGGCGACGACGGGUAGCCGGCCUGAGAGGGCGACCGGCCACACUGGGACUGAGACACGGCCCAGACUCCUACGGGAGGCAGCAGUGGGGAAUAUUGCACAAUGGGCGGAGGCCUGAUGCAGCGACGCCGCGUGAGGGAUGACGGCCUUCGGGUUGUAAACCUCUUUCGACAGGGACGAAGCGCAAGUGACGGUACCUGGAGAAGAAGCGCCGGCCAACUACGUGCCAGCAGCCGCGGUAAGACGUAGGGCGCGAGCGUUGUCCGGAUUUAUUGGGCGUAAAGAGCUCGUAGGCGGCUUGUUGCGUCGACUGUGAAAACCCGCAGCUUAACUGCGGGCCUGCAGUUGAUACGGGCAGGCUAGAGUUCGGUAGGGGAGACUGGAAUUCCUGGUGUAGCGGUGAAAUGCGCAGAUAUCAGGAGGAACACCGGUGGCGAAGGCGGGUCUCUGGGCCGAUACUGACGCUGAGGAGCGAAAGCGUGGGGAGCGAACAGGAUUAGAUACCCUGGUAGUCCACGCUGUAAACGUUGGGCGCUAGGUGUGGGGGGCCUCUCCGGUUCUCUGUGCCGCAGCUAACGCAUUAAGCGCCCCGCCUGGGGAGUACGG
rnacentral:rRNA from 1 species